CUCUUGCCUGCCUCUCUUCUGGGUUUGACAUCUAAAUGUCAGACUGCCCUAGAAUCUUUGUCCUGUGUCCUCUUGAUUUCUCUGUGUGACAUCAUUCGAUUCUAAGAUUUUAAAUGAAAUCUAUUUGUCAUGCAUCUGAAACCCUGGACACACCCAUAAAAUCCAGACUGGUAUCUUUAAAUGCCAACUGACCUGCCCAUUAGGAUAUGAAGUAGCAUCUUGAACUUAAUAAAACCCAGUAUUUCCUUGCGUAUCUGCUUCCUCUACAGUCUCCCAACCUCAGCCAAUGUUCCCACCCUUCACCAAGUUUUCUUCAAGACAACUUAUGACACAGGAGAGCUUGGUUCUUGUCUCAUGGAGUUGAAGAAUGAAUCUCGCAAACAACAGAAGCCAACACCUGCAAGAAGAGCCCUAGAUAACUGGGAUUGACAUCUCCCUGGGAGAAGCCCAAGCAAACGGCUCCUGGUGUCGAGGCAUCACUACUCCAGCUUCUUGCCCCUGGUCCAGGCUGCUCUGAGAAUUUCAAACUCAGUUUAUUUUUCUCCUGCGAUGAGCAUCAAGAAGCCUCUGCUUUUCCAAUGAAGAACGGAAGUUUAUGGACCAAAUGUUAAAAGUUAAAGCGGAGCUCAUGACUGACUAAAGGAAAUGUCAUGUUUUGAUGAACAUUCUGUUUGCACUAAAAUACACAAUAUGAUCCUGGAUGAAAAUUUGGGAGAGUUGAACUUUUAACCAUAAAAUAAAUAUACUUAAGUUACUGAGACUUUACCUUCUUCCUUUCUGAGUUGGAAGAUUUCCAUAACGAUGCUUGAAUUUGAAGACCUCACAACUAGGAUCUGUUUUCUACAGAGACUUUCCUGGAAAUUCUACACAGAAGAAAAACACUGUAUGCCAUAUAUGGUGAUAUAGCAUACUUCCUAUUUUUGAACCAGAUGGACUAAAGAUAAAAUGAUAAAAUGCAAGUUUUUUUCUUAGUACUCUCAGCAGUAUGUCAAAUAAAACUAUUAGUGUCUAUUCAUCCAGUUA